UUAACGACUCUCGGCAACGGAUAUCUCGGCUCUCGCAUCGAUGAAGAACGUAGCGAAAUGCGAUACUUGGUGUGAAUUGCAGAAUCCCGUGAACCAUCGAGUCUUUGAACGCAAGUUGCGCCCGAGGCCGUCAGGUUGAGGGCACGCCUGCCUGGGCGUCACGC
rnacentral:rRNA from 1 species